rnacentral:misc_RNA from 1 species
GAUGAAGAACGCAGCGAAAUGCGAUAAGUAAUGUGAAUUGCAGAAUUCAGUGAAUCAUCGAAUCUUUGAACGCACAUUGCGCCCCCUGGUAUUCCGGGGGGCAUGCCUGUCCGAGCGUCAUUACAACCCUCAAGCUCAGUUUGGUGUUGGGCCCCGCCGCCCCGGCGGGCCCUAAAGUCAGUGGCGGUGCCGUCCGGCUCCGAGCGUAGUAAUUCUUCUCGCUCUGGAGGUCCGGUCGUGUGCUCGCCAGCAACCCCCAAUUUUUUUCAGGUUGACCUCGGAUCAGGUAGGGAUACCCGCUGAACUUAAGCAUAUCAAUAAGCGGAGGA